rnacentral:piRNA from 1 species
UUGAUAACAUGUCUGCAGGUGAACUCUAU